UAUUUCUGCGCUGAUAACUACAUCUGUGCUCACAUACUAGCCUAAAAUCCUAUAUCAGCUUUUACAUUAGGUUGUUUUCUUCAAAAUGAGAGCAUUCUCGUGUGUCUGUGAGCAUGCAUGGCUAAACGGCACUAUAAUAUGUCUCAGAUGCGCAGAUCAAAACAUGCAAUGCAGCGUAAAACAUGACCAGUAUUUGUAUUGACUCUCUUUGAUUCCUUUCGACUUGCAAUGACGUCAUCACGCAGUGCGUCCUAUGUCAUGAAAGCUGACAGCCUCCCCUCUCCAUAGACACAUCGAUCAAGCUUCUAGACCAUUCAGAGCCCGAGUUGUUCCUUUCCAAAGUUGAGGAGGUGGGACUAAAGAAAACGCCGCAAACGGGCGCAGAUGAUUAUUGAUGAGUUGAUCGGAAGUUGGUUUGUGAUUUUGGAUAGCGUUUUAGCGAAUUAUUGCGUGCUUUUAUUACUGUUAGAGUUAUAUGUCUCUGAAAAAUGACUUCAAGAAAGUUUUUUGUUGGUGUGGAGGCGGCUUUGGAGGAGUUUGAUCGGAUGUCCGACACUGAAACUUGCAGCGAGGCUAGCUAGCUUUGACUCGGUCAGAGAAGCUGCUUACAAACUGGGAGAAGACCCUGAUUUUGAUUGUAGCAUCCAGUGGUGAAGAAAGGGAGCCAGCAAGUCAGGAUACUUAUCUUGUGUGUGUGUGUGUGUGUGUGUGUGUGUAAAAUAAAAUGCAAGAACAGAA